GGCGGGUGCUGGGCGCGCCAUGGGGCUGCUGCGGGCGCUGGCGCGGGGUUUUGCGCGCGGCGCGGACCGCGUGUCGCCGUUCACGAGCAAGCGCGGGCCCCGCUCGCACUACAAGGGCCGCGGCGCGCGGCGGCCCGGGGUGCUCAGCGCCGGCAAGAAGUUCCUCCGCAUCGCGCAGAUGGUGCCGCAGUUCGUCGUCCCCGACCUCGCCGGCUUCAAGCUCAAGCCGUACGUGUCGUACCGCGCCCCCGAGGGCUCCGAGCCGCCCGUCACGGCCAAGCAGCUCUUCACCGCCGUGGUGGCUCCGCGCAUCGAGAAGGACGUGAAGAACGGCACCUUCGACCCCGAUAACCUGGAGAAGUACGGCUUCGAGCCCACGCAGGAGGGCAAGCUCUUCCAGCUCUUCCCCAAGAACUACAUGCGGUAGGCGGGAGCGGCGCCCCCGGCGAGGCACGACCCGCACCGGCACCAGGACGGGGCGGCUCCGGACACCGACCAUUAAAGCAAACCCACCCUCCUCGGUCUGUGUGCGGUGUCUGAUGUACAUUGCGGGGAGGGGGGGCAGUUGGUGCCUAUCUCCCAUCACGGCACGUCCGGCUCCGGGCGCUGGGGGGAGCGGGAGGCGGCUUCUCUCCGGGUUGCUGAAACAUCAGCGCUUCCUUCUGGGAAGGAAUUCCUGCCCCGCGGAACAGGGCCGGGCGCAGCUUGUGGCCCUGGGGGAGUGGGGGGCUCCCCGGCUGUGGGGACCCGGCCACUGCCAGCACAACAGCGGCAUGUUCUGGCCUGGACGCUGCUGCAGCUCACACUGCGCAGCAGCCACAGGCAGGGGGAGUGUGUUGAUGGACCCUCAACUCCCUCUGAGGAGAGACCUGCAGCCCGCGCUGAGCACCACCACAGCUUUUCCAGGCGUAAAGCUUUCCCGUAGAGUAACUCAGGAUGCACUUCAUGGGUACACUGAAUGUCUGGUCUUUAGCGCAGCUGCUUGAAGUUACAGAGUAACUGAUUAAAUGUGAAACAUAGCCCAGGAAUUGUUAUUUUUGGAUAUAAAUUCCUGGCAGAGCAGGAUCUUCCUAAUCAUUAAAUUAAGUGGAUAUAAGUGA
rnacentral:lncRNA from 1 species